ensembl:misc_RNA
CUAUAAAAGAUGUAACAGAUGCAAACUGUAACACAAGGGCCAUUAACCCUUUCUCUGCCGAGCACACUCAGUCCCCACGCCCCGCACCUAUUGUCUCCUGUGCUAGAAGCUUUGCAGAAAACCUGGAA